ACCAGGUACACACACACACACACACUCUCAUGGUCUAUGACAUCACCAGGUACACACACACACACACACUCUCAUGGUCUAUGACAUCACCAGGUACACACACACACACACACACUCUCAUGGUCUAUGACAUCACCAGGUACACACACACACACACACACACACACUCAUGGUCUAUGACAUCACCAGGUACACACACACACACACACACACACUCAUGGUCUAUGACAUCACCAGGUACACACACACACACACACACACUCAUGGUCUAUGACAUCACCAGGUACACACACACACACACACACUCAUGGUCUAUGACAUCACCAGGUACACACACACACACACACACACACACACUCAUGGUCUAUGACAUCACCAGGUACACACACACACACACACACACACACACACACACACACACACACACACACACUCAUGGUCUAUGACAUCACCAGGUACACACACACACACACACACACACUCAUGGUCUAUGACAUCACCAGGUACACACACACACAC